UUAUCACUUUUCCAGCCCAGC
rnacentral:miRNA from 1 species